AUUCAAUAUAUCAUAAAGAGGCAAACGAUCAUGAACCCUUGGAAUUUUCCUGAUGGUUAUCUCUCUUAUAGGGGUUUCAUCUUCUGGGCGGAACUUGAUUAAAUUCUUCACCAAAAUCAGGCCAAUGAUAUUUGCUGGAUUUCCUGAAUAAAUGGGAAUGCGACUAUGCCCCGUGCUUAUUAUCAGCCCCAUUGUUUUUUCAUCAAGUUUAGAAUUUAUAUCAAGUGAAAAUAUUUUAGGUAAGGGUGUCAUGGCAUCUUUAGCCGUCUUCUGAGUCAUAUCUAAAGCUCCAGUAAUGAUGGUGGUUUCGUCCUGUGUCAAUUCUCCACCUUUUCCUGCCUCUUUUCCAUGCAUGCCAACCAAGGUCUUCAGCUCUGCCCUUCGCAGAAGUGCAGAAUGCUUUUUCCCAAGGAUCCAAUCCAGCAGCUUGCUGAUCGGAUAAGCUAAUGGGAAGAGGACUAUAACAAUCAACCGAACUAUUGCAGACAUUCUUGCUCCAACACUCAAUCCAUAACGAGAACAAACAGCUUGAGGUAUAAUCUCACCAAAGGCGAGUAUGAGUGUGACUGAUAUUAGAAUAGCACCCCAAGCUGGAAGAAGUGCGUCAAGGAAGAUGGGCAGGGCCUCCAUUGCCAGAGCAUUGCCUAUAAGGAGCGUACACAACAGCAAAUGCUGAUUCUUUACAAGUGGCAGAAUCUUCUCUGUUAUCAAGAAUUUGAGCAUAAAAAUCAGGGGGUGUACAUCUAGCUUUGGAGGGUGAUGAAAAUAUGCUACAACGAAGGCUAAACGUCUACCCACCUGCAUUCUUGCG
rnacentral:misc_RNA from 1 species